CAUGCUCCGCUAUAAAAAGAGCACCAUGGACACUAACCAAAUCAGAAGUUUGAGAAAGGUCCACGACCGAAACGCGUUACUUCUUUUUUGGCAAUAUUGAGCCACCGUAGUCUGUGACGUCAGACUAUUACCUCCAGCAAACCAGUGAGGAAAAGACCGGACGGGAAUUACCCUGCUUUUAGACGCUAAAAAAGGCGUUGCAUCUACAACUCACCAGGCCUGUAUGCCGUUUGGAAAAACUUAAUGGUAACCUGGAUUUACCAUUAAGUGAAAGAAACAGGACAACGACAUCGUAUCUGUAAACCAUCAGACGCUCACUUUGGAACCAACAAUCUAAAGGUAACCUGGCUUUACCGCUACUCCAAAAAUUCGGGAAUAUUCCUAUCAAAAAGUCAGGAUUGGAACACUGAACAAGCUAUAUCUUGAUCAUAUAAGAAUGGGAGUGACGUCAUCAGCAGCUGACAGGAGAGCCACAAGCAUUACAAGUGCUGUGUCCAAGCGUUUUCAAACUAAGUAACGGUGGAUGAUCCGGACAGGUUGGGCCGCUGAAUAGAUACUGACCGAAACAGGUGGUGGUGGAUGACCUGAUUAGGAUUGAGCCGAAUACUAAAGACUUUCCUCUAUAGUCACUCAUGCUGUGAGAAGUUGCCGUAUUAGAGAUAUCAGUGCUUACUAUGACUGCUCACGCUUGUAUUGACACACUUUGUACAGUAUUACUGAACCCAUUAAUCUGGGACUGUUGCCUAAUAUAUUAUUUGUUUGGUCAGUGGAUUAGCCUUUGUGUUCCUGGGUCUGUUUAGGGGGAAUAUUUUAUAAACAGCGUAAACUUUUUACUACUUGGGAAAUACACCAUAAACAGACUUUCAGGGAUUGUGAUGUACAAUACUAAUCUGCUUACUUGCCUGCUUACCCUGGACUGCUGGUGACCCCCCCCUUAGGAUGCCUUGGGGGUAUCUCUGCAUGUAUCUUAUUUGUUUAUUUUUUUGUUGUAUGUGUGAUGAGUGUGUGUGAUGACUUGGGGCCCUUGAAAUUUAUUCUGCAUCAUCUUGUUUGAUAUGAGCUAAUGAAUAAACAUUAUAUAAGCUG